rnacentral:rRNA from 1 species
UGAGUAACACGUAUCCAACCUGCCGUCUACUCUUGGACAGCCUUCUGAAAGGAAGAUUAAUACAAGAUGGCAUCAUGAGUCCGCAUGUUCACAUGAUUAAAGGUGUUCCGGUAGACGAUGGGGAUGCGUUCCAUUAGAUAGCAGGCGGGGUAACGGCCCACCUAGUCUUCGAUGGAUAGGGGUUCUGAGAGGAAGGUCCCCCACAUUGGAACUGAGACACGGUCCAA